rnacentral:rRNA from 1 species
AACGAACGCUGGCGGCAUGCCUAACACAUGCAAGUCGAACGAGACCUUCGGGUCUAGUGGCGCACGGGGGGGUAACGCGGGGGAACCUGCCCUUAGGUUCGGUAUAACUCCCCGAAAGGGGUGCUAAGACCGGUGAAGGUCUUCGGAGCAAAGAUUUAUCGCCUUUGGCUGGGGCCGCGUUGGUUUAGCUGGUUGGUAGGGGAAAAGCCGACCAAGGCGACGUUCCAUAGCUGGUCUGAGAGGAUGCUCCGGCACGCUGGGACUGCGACACGGCCCAGACUCCUACGGGAGGCAGCAGUGGGGAAUAUUGGACAAUGGGCGAAAGCCUGAUCCAGCCAUGCCGCGUGAGUGAUGAAGGCCUUAGGGUUGUAAAGCUCUUUUACCCGGGAUGAUAAUGACAGUACCGGGAGAAUAAGCUCCGGCUAACUCCGUG